rnacentral:rRNA from 1 species
AUUGAACGCUGGCGGCAUGCCUUACACAUGCAAGUCGAACGGCAGCACGGGUGCUUGCACCUGGUGGCGAGUGGCGAACGGGUGAGUAAUGCAUCGGAACGUGCCCGAUCGUGGGGGAUAACGCAGCGAAAGCUGUACUAAUACCGCAUACGAUCUGAGGAUGAAAGCGGGGGACCGUAAGGCCUCGCGCGAUCGGAGCGGCCGAUGUCCGAUUAGGUAGUUGGUGGGGUAAAGGCCCACCAAGCCGACUAUCUGUAGCUGGUCUGAGAGGACGACCAGCCACACUGGGACUGAGACACGGCCCAGACUCCUACGGGAGGCAGCAGUGGGGAAUUUUGGACAAUGGGCGAAAGCCUGAUCCAGCAAUGCCGCGUGCAGGAAGAAGGCCUUCGGGUUGUAAACUGCUUUUGUACGGAACGAAACGGUGAGCUCUAAUACAGUUUGCUAAUGACGGUACCGUAAGAAUAAGCACCGGCUAACUACGUGCCAGCCGCCGCGGUAA